rnacentral:lncRNA from 1 species
UACCGCCGCUGCCGCAGAUCUAGGCGCCCUAUUUAAUUUCGUCUAAGCCAGCCGCUCAGUGUUGGGGGAGGGAAAGGGAAGCCGGACCAGUUCGUUCGUUCGUUCGUUCCGGCCGUGUGGAUUGGACGUUUCAAAACAAGAAAUCGCAAGCUUAGCUACACAGAGAAAGGCCACCAGUAGUUAUUAUUAUAUAGAGAGAAAGGAAGGAGCUGCACCGUCUUGAGACCUUUGAGAGUGUGUGUCGAGCGGAGGAAGACGAGGAGGCAGCCAGGUGAGGCCGGCGAAGCUCGCAGCCAGCUCUCGUGCUUGCCUUGGUGACAUUCAUCGAGCUCUCGUCCAUGCCGCUUUGGCGGUGUCUCGCCUGCCCGCCCUCUGCUGCGUGCAUGUGCGUAUGAUCUUUCGGUCUAAAGCCAGGUCUUGUACAUGUCGUCCUUGUAUGCAGCACCUUCGAUUUCUUUAGCAUUUCCGCCUCUGAGAAGUUGCUCUGGGCGCCCCAAAGCAGGCCACGGCUGGCCUAGCUAGCUUCCCUUGCUUUUGCUUUCUUCCCGUUGGAGCCUCGGUCGCUCACACGCACUUGCCUUUUCUUCUUGCUGAGCAGGAGGUAGCAGGCAGCCGGGGGCACGGCGCAUCGCAUGGAGGAGAGAGUGAAAAGAGGAAGAGCAGGAGAAGGUGAGGGCGAAGAAGCGAGCCUAACGGAAAGGAGCCUUGGGGCGGGCCCACCGGCCCUGAGGUGAGGGGAAGGGAGGGAGGGGUGGGAGGAGGAGGAGGCGGAGGAUCUCCUCUCACGUCAAAGGUGGGGGAAAGCAUAAAGGAGGAAGGAGGAAGAGAAGGUGGUGGAGAGGAGAAAGCCAGCUGCUUCACUGAGUGAGCAAGGAUAGAGUGUGAGUGAGUGUGGGAGUGAGCGAGUGACACCUCUCCCCCUAUGUAGAGCUGUAGAGCGUGAGCUUGAGGGCAUCCUGUUCUUCCACCACCAUUUCGUCGCCCAGCCACUACAGUCGGUCGGCGUGCUGGUGGAGUUGAAGAGGAGGAGACGCCAUGGCAUUGCAGGAGCAGGAAGAAGACGAAGAUGAAGGAGAAGACGGCGAGGAAGAUGGGAUCAUGACGAGGAGGGUGCUGUGGUGGGGGAGGAGCUGCUGCUGAUUUCCUCCCCUGUCUGACCCGAGGCGCGCUGCCUGCUCCGGAGUAGUAGUAAGAUAUUGGCACAAUAGGCUCAAUCACUUUUUCUUUCCCCUUGUUUUGCUGUUUUUGCGCUCCUUUCCCCGUUCAGUCCAUUGAUGAUUCCAUACUCUUCCCCCUGUAAUUUCUUUUCCCCCCGCUGCCCCUUUUGAUCUGUUGUUCUUGGUGGUUUCCCCGAUUCGGAACGGAAAAGGCUUUGGCAAACGCAAAAGAGGAGCGGCAGCUAGCAGUAAGUACUCUCACUGUGCGCUUCAGGAGCAUGGCAAAUCUCCGCCCGAGCCUUGUCCCGUCCCCUUUGUUUCUUGCGCUCGUCCGUCCGUCCGUCCGUUCGUUCUCAUCCACAGGCCAUAUCGAUCGAUCGGUCGACCGGCUGCCCGCAUGUGCCGUGCCGCCGCUGUUCUGGAUUCAACCCGCACAGUGGGUGGGCGAU